rnacentral:rRNA from 1 species
GGGUUGUGAGGUUAAGCGACUAAGCGUACACGGUGGAUGCCCUGGCAGUCAGAGGCGAUGAAGGGCGUGCUAAUCUGCGAUAAGCGCCGGUAAGGUGAUAUGAACCGUUAUAACCGGCGAUACCCGAAUGGGGAAACCCAGUGUGACUCGUCACACUAUCAUUAACUGAAUCCAUAGGUUAAUGAGGCGAACCGGGGGAACUGAAACAUCUAAGUACCCCGAGGAAAAGAAAUCAACCGAGAUUCCCCCAGUAGCGGCGAGCGAACGGGGAGGAGCCCAGAGCCUGAAUCAGCAUGUGUGUUAGUGGAAGCGUCUGGAAAGUCGCGCGAUACAGGGUGACAGCCCCGUACACAAAAGCGCAUGUGCUGUGAGCUCGAUGAGUAGGGCGGGACACGUGGUAUCCUGUCUGAAUAUGGGGGGACCAUCCUCCAAGGCUAAAUACUCCUGACUGACCGAUAGUGAACCAGUACCGUGAGGGAAAGGCGAAAAGAACCCCGGCGAGGGGAGUGAAAAAGAACCUGAAACCGUGUACGUACAAGCAGUGGGAGCCCCACCACUAAGCCAGUGGUGAACUCCACAUACGCAUCCUUUGCUGAGGAUACGGUUAACGGAGCGAAAGCGACGUUCAACCGCAAAAGAAGCAGAGGGGGCUUAGUGGUGGGGUGACUGCGUACCUUUUGUAUAAUGGGUCAGCGACUUAUAUUCUGUAGCAAGGUUAACCGUAUAGGGGAGCCGCAGGGAAACCGAGUCUUAACCGGGCGUUAAGUUGCAGGGUAUAGACCCGAAACCCGGUGAUCUAGCCAUGGGCAGGUUGAAGGUUGGGUAACACUAACUGGAGGACCGAACCGACUAAUGUUGAAAAAUUAGCGGAUGACCUGUGGCUGGGGGUGAAAGGCCAAUCAAACCGGGAGAUAGCUGGUUCUCCCCGAAAGCUAUUUAGGUAGCGCCUCGUGAAUUCAUCUCCGGGGGUAGAGCACUGUUUCGGCUAGGGGGCCAUCCCGGCUUACCAACCCGAUGCAAACUGCGAAUACCGGAGAAUGUUAUCACGGGAGACACACGGCGGGUGCUAACGUCCGUCGUGAAGAGGGAAACAACCCAGACCGCCAGCUAAGGUCCCAAAGUCAUGGUUAAGUGGGAAACGAUGUGGGAAGGCCCAGACAGCCAGGAUGUUGGCUUAGAAGCAGCCAUCAUUUAAAGAAAGCGUAAUAGCUCACUGGUCGAGUCGGCCUGCGCGGAAGAUGUAACGGGGCUAAACCAUGCACCGAAGCUGCGGCAGCGACACUGUGUGUUGUUGGGUAGGGGAGCGUUCUGUAAGCCUGCGAAGGUGGCCUGUGAGGGUUGCUGGAGGUAUCAGAAGUGCGAAUGCUGACAUAAGUAACGAUAAAGCGGGUGAAAAGCCCGCUCGCCGGAAGACCAAGGGUUCCUGUCCAACGUUAAUCGGGGCAGGGUGAGUCGACCCCUAAGGCGAGGCCGAAAGGCGUAGUCGAUGGGAAACGGGUUAAUAUUCCCGUACUUGGUGUUACUGCGAAGGGGGGACGGAGAAGGCUAUGUUGGCCGGGCGACGGUUGUCCCGGUUUAAGCGUGUAGGCUGGUUUUCCAGGCAAAUCCGGAAAAUCAAGGCUGAGGCGUGACGACGAGGCACUACGGUGCUGAAGCAACAAAUGCCCUGCUUCCAGGAAAAGCCUCUAAGCAUCAGGUAACAUCAAAUCGUACCCCAAACCGACACAGGUGGUCAGGUAGAGAAUACCAAGGCGCUUGAGAGAACUCGGGUGAAGGAACUAGGCAAAAUGGUGCCGUAACUUCGGGAGAAGGCACGCUGACACGUAGGUGAAGUGAUUUACUCACGGAGCUGAAGUCAGUCGAAGAUACCAGCUGGCUGCAACUGUUUAUUAAAAACACAGCACUGUGCAAACACGAAAGUGGACGUAUACGGUGUGACGCCUGCCCGGUGCCGGAAGGUUAAUUGAUGGGGUCAGCGCAAGCGAAGCUCCUGAUCGAAGCCCCGGUAAACGGCGGCCGUAACUAUAACGGUCCUAAGGUAGCGAAAUUCCUUGUCGGGUAAGUUCCGACCUGCACGAAUGGCGUAAUGAUGGCCAGGCUGUCUCCACCCGAGACUCAGUGAAAUUGAACUCGCUGUGAAGAUGCAGUGUACCCGCGGCAAGACGGAAAGACCCCGUGAACCUUUACUAUAGCUUGACACUGAACAUUGAGCCUUGAUGUGUAGGAUAGGUGGGAGGCUUUGAAGUGUGGACGCCAGUCUGCAUGGAGCCGACCUUGAAAUACCACCCUUUAAUGUUUGAUGUUCUAACGUGGACCCGUUACCCGGGUUGCGGACAGUGUCUGGUGGGUAGUUUGACUGGGGCGGUCUCCUCCUAAAGAGUAACGGAGGAGCACGAAGGUUGGCUAAUCCUGGUCGGACAUCAGGAGGUUAGUGCAAUGGCAUAAGCCAGCUUGACUGCGAGCGUGACGGCGCGAGCAGGUGCGAAAGCAGGUCAUAGUGAUCCGGUGGUUCUGAAUGGAAGGGCCAUCGCUCAACGGAUAAAAGGUACUCCGGGGAUAACAGGCUGAUACCGCCCAAGAGUUCAUAUCGACGGCGGUGUUUGGCACCUCGAUGUCGGCUCAUCACAUCCUGGGGCUGAAGUAGGUCCCAAGGGUAUGGCUGUUCGCCAUUUAAAGUGGUACGCGAGCUGGGUUUAGAACGUCGUGAGACAGUUCGGUCCCUAUCUGCCGUGGGCGCUGGAGAACUGAGGGGGGCUGCUCCUAGUACGAGAGGACCGGAGUGGACGCAUCACUGGUGUUCGGGUUGUCAUGCCAAUGGCAUUGCCCGGUAGCUAAAUGCGGAAGAGAUAAGUGCUGAAAGCAUCUAAGCACGAAACUUGCCCCGAGAUGAGUUCUCCCUGAGACUACGAGUCUCCUGAAGGAACGUUGAAGACGACGACGUUGAUAGGCCGGGUGUGUAAGCGCAGCGAUGCGUUGAGCUAACCGGUACUAAUGAACCGUGAGGCUUAACCUUACAACGCCGAAG